CUGCAGCUCAAGUGGUGACCACUAUUAUUGGGCCUAAAACGUUCGUAGCCGGUUUGGUAAAUGCCUGGGUAAAUCGUGUAGCUUAACUAUACGACUUCCGGGUAGACUGCUAAACUUGAGACCGGGAGAGGCUAGAGGUACUCCUGGGGUAGAGGUGAAAUUCUGUAAUCCUAGGGGGACCACCAGUGGCGAAGGCGUCUAGCUAGAACGGGUCUGACGGUGAGGGACGAAGCCCUGGGGCACAAACCGGAUUAGAUACCCGCGUAGUCC
rnacentral:rRNA from 1 species